rnacentral:lncRNA from 1 species
CCUAUUAAUAUUUUUGAAAUCCAGAAUAAUUUUCAGGAAAUGCAAAAUAUUAAUAAAACUACUUAUAGCCGAAAGCCUAUUAAUAGAAUGGCUUUAUCUGGACCUAGUAGGUACUACUACCCCAGACCUACUCCUCAGGAUAUUCUGUAUGAAGAAGACUUUCUUCAUUCCCAGAAGUCUUAUCAUGGUAAAACCAUCUAUGAAUGGAAUAUCG